UCCCUGGAGAUCUAGUGGUUAGGCCAUGGCACUCUCACUGCCUUAGCCUGGGUUCGAUUCCCAGCCAGGGUC